rnacentral:misc_RNA from 1 species
GUGAAUCAUCGAAUUUUUGAACGCAAAUUGCACUCUCCGGUUUUCCGGGAGAGUAUGCCUGUUUGAGGGUCAGCCUAAAAAAAAUCGACAUUGUUGCUGUUAUUUAAUGGUGACUUUCGUCGGAGAUUGGGUUAUCUUAAACCUUUUUUUUUUUUUGGUUUAGGCGACUUAAAUUUUUUUUUCACGAUUCCAUGAAGGUUCUUACAAUUUUUUUUCUUUAUACGUUUAAGUUUU